rnacentral:rRNA from 1 species
UGCCCCAGUAACGGCGAGUGAAGCGGCAGGAGCUCAAAUUUGAAAUCUGGGGUCCCCGACCUCCGAGUUGUAAUUUGGAGAGGCAUCUUCGGGGGGGAGCGCCGGCCCAUGUUCCUUGGAACAGGACGUCGCAGAGGGUGAGAAUCCCGUGCCAGGCCGGCUGCCUCCUCCCGGGUGAAGCGCCUUCGACGAGUCGAGUUGUUUGGGAAUGCAGCUCCAAGUGGGUGGUAAAUUUCAUCUAAAGCUAAAUACCGGCGGGAGACCGAUAGCGCACAAGUAGAGUGAUCGAAAGAUGAAAAGCACUUUGAAAAUAGAGUCAAAAAGUACGUGAAAUUGUUGAAAGGGAAGCGCUUGAGACCAGACUCAGGCCCGGGCAAACAUCGAGCCCCCCGGGGCCGUGCAAUUGCCUGGGGCUGGGCCAGCAUCAGUUGGCGUGGCGGGACAAAGGCGCGGGGAAUGUGGCUCCCCUCGGGGAGUGUUAUCAGGCCCGCGCUCAAUGCCGCCGACGCCGACUGAGGACCGCGCCUCGGCUAGGAUGCUGGCUUAAUGGCCUUCAGCG